rnacentral:rRNA from 1 species
CCUACGGGUGGCAGCAGUGGGGAAUAUUGCACAAUGGGCGAAACCCUGAUGCAGCGACGCCGCGUGAGUGAAGAAGUAUUUCGGUAUGUAAAGCUCUAUCAGCAGGGAAGAAAAUGACGGUACUUGAUUAAGAAGCCCCGGCUAACCACGUGCCAGCAGCCGCGGUACUACGUAGGGGGCAAGCGUUAUCCGGAUUUACUGGGUGUAAAGGGAGCGUAGGCGGCAGCACAAGUCUGGGGGGAAAUGCCGGGGCGUAACCCGGGAACUGCUUUGGAAACUGUGCAGCUAGAGUGCAGGAGAGGUGAGUGGAAUUCCUGGUGUAGCGGUGAAAUGCGUAGAUAUUAGGAGGAACACCAGUGGCGAAGGCGGCUUACUGGACUGUGACUGACGUUGAGGCUCGAAAGCGUGGGGAGCAAACAGGAUUAGAUACCCGAGUAGUC